UACGUAGGGUGCGAGCGUUGUCCGGAUUUAUUGGGCGUAAAGAGCUCGUAGGCGGUUUGUCGCGUCGGCCGUGAAAUCUCCACGCUUAACGUGGAGCGUGCGGUCGAUACGGGCAGACUUGAGUUCGGUAGGGGAGACUGGAAUUCCUGGUGUAGCGGUGAAAUGCGCAGAUAUCAGGAGGAACACCGGUGGCGAAGGCGGGUCUCUGGCCCGAUACUGACGCUGAUGCACGAAAGCGUGGGGAGCAAACAGG
rnacentral:rRNA from 1 species